UGUUACAAUGGGGGGUACAGAGGGCCGCUACCACGCGAGUGGAUGCCAAUCCCCAAAACCUCUCUCAGUUCGGACUGGAGUCUGCAACCCGACUCCACGAAGCUGGAUUCGCUAGUAAUCGCGCAUCAGCCACGGCGCGGUGAAUACGUUCCCGGGCCUUGUACACACCGCCCGUCAAGCCAUGGGAGCCGGGGGUACCUGAAGUGCGUAACCGCGAGGAGCGCCCUAGGGUAAAACUGGUGACUGGGGCUAAGUCGUAACAAGGUACC
rnacentral:rRNA from 1 species